GGGCAUGUAGUGUAGGGGUUAUCGCGCCUCAUUCGCAGGUUUAUACCGUGUUUUGAGGAGGUCCUGAGUUCAAUUCUCAGCUUGUCCA
rnacentral:tRNA from 1 species